CAGUAAAGGCGGGGGACUGUACAGCGGUAGCAUACAGUCUAUUAAGAAUCUUUUAAAAAGUUCGUUGGCUUUUCUAAGCCAAUAACCUAAAACUAUGGUUCGGUGCCGUGGAUCUGGAAAGGUCCACAACCCACUUCAGAUGAUAAUGGCAUUGUCUCAGCACAGCCAGAGUCAAGAAAACCAGAGCCACCACAGAACAAUCAAGAGUCAACUUUAUUGGCCAAGUGUGCCUAUGCACACGAGGAAUUUGACUCCGGUUCACAAUAGCUUCCAGCACUUGCAGACAUCAAGAAAUAAAUAGAACAACAACAGGACAUUGGAGGCAAAACAUGUAUUCACAACAGAGACAGUUAAUGAGGAGAGGGCAGUAGAGAGCUUGGAUGCAGAGCUAGCCGCACAUCUGCUGACGGAAGUCCAUCACACCCAACUGUCAAUGAAGAGAUGGAUACCACCAUAGAAACCCACAUCAGGUUGUCAGAGCCACAGGCCUCAGAUGAAAACAGCAGCAAAUGACCUGCCAAGCCUGUAGUGGCUUUGUGUCCCAGGCUGGAGCUUUGGCGAAGGCUUCAUAGGUAGCCUGUGUGCAGAGGAGGGCUCAGGUCUGGGUCAACUCUCACUAGCUGGCAAGUAAUUGCAUUCAACGUCAAAACUGUGUCCGCCAGCGAGCCAAAAGUCACUCCUCCCACGCACACACUGCUUACUUCCACUAGCCGGGGUGUCGCAGCUUCAGCCACUGAGACUGGGAAUAGCAGCAGUGAAACCAAAGAAGAUGCAUAUCACAAGGAUGCCUAAAGAUAUGCACCUCACCUUUGUUGGUCAAUAAAAUACUAAUUCAGCUGGUUUUAUACAUUCCAGUAUUUUCCUAUGCAGAUAAAACAAAACAAACCUGGACCCCUUUUGAUUUAGGACUUGAAUUAUUACCAUUUGUAGGCAGCUAAAAUAGUAUAAUCUGUGCUGUAUUGCUCUGUAAUGAAGAGUCAUAUCUCAUACACUGAUAUUUGUGACAAGUUUCACUCACUUCACGAAAUUUUAAUGCAGUAGUUCUUUGAAGCCUGGCAGUCGAUUAAUUCUUUUUUCAGGGGCAGUCCACUGUCUUUAAUAUCAUGUUUUACAGAGUCAAAGCAAUAAACCAUUCUCGAAACAAAUCUACAUACAACAGAGUGCCACUUUGACAGCAUUUCAGACUUCUCUGCCUACUGAAACACACACAUAAACAGGCAGAGGUUGAUUAUACACAGGUGCUCAUUAUCCAGAUGACCCACUCCUAAUUCUUCCUGCCUCCAAGCCAAGUCUAAACUACGCACUUGCUGCAGUAUGUUGUAUGAAGCAUGACACUUUUAUCUCACAGUGCUUAUGUGAAAUCUUGGAGAUGAAAAAAUGUUAAAAAAAAUUUGACAAAAUCAUAGGACUUGUAUUCCUACGUGUAUUCACUUUUGGAACUAAAAAAAAAACAUGUAUAUAUUCUCUUCACCAUUGCACUUUAUCGCUUCUUAUUUCACCUUUAUAUAGUCAGUCCUCGUGUAUAUAUAUCUGAAGAUUUUUGUGCUGUGUUAUUUUACGUAAAAUACACUGAGAGCCACGAAACGAGUCAAAUCCAUAUAUGUGCAAACCUACAUGGCCAAUAAACAUGAUUCUG